CUUAUUUCUCAGGGCAGGGUGUAACUCCCUACUGGCGGUAAUCUUGUAAUAAAGAGAGUCCGCGAGCGCUUUUACAUGUAAUAGACUUCUUUCAUAACCCUUGAAAAGAUGAAGAGUUUGUUCAGAGUGUGUUAAUUUUUAAAACUCAAAAUUGAGUCAUAGCUAAAGCUAUGGCGAUGUUUUUAGUUUUAAAAAGUGAUGUGCUAUGGACGAUACUCUUUUUUCAAGGGUUAUGUAAGAAGUCUAAUGUUAAAAGGUCAAGCAGAUUUGGUGCGAUUCCAAAACCAACGGUUAAAGUCCGGAUGAGAGAGAAUGUAG
rnacentral:ncRNA from 1 species